CACAACAACAACAACCACAACAACAACAGCAGCAGCAGCAAGAAUAGCAGCAACAAUAACUACAGCGGGCAUCAUGAGUACAACAACAACACCAACAUCACCACCCCCAAAUAUUUUACUCUACACAAUAAUUCCAGUGUGUGUUGUAAUACUUGCAGCCGUACUUGGAUGUAUCUACAUAUCAAAACAGA